UCCUGUUAUAAAUUCGUAUGGUUAAUCUUUAAUAUUAUUGCAACAACUAUUAAACAUAAAUCUGAUUUUUACUGGACUUGUUGGGUGUUAUGAUUUAUUUUCAGACAAUUCACAUAGAAUAUGAAUCGAUAAGCUCUAUAAAAGAGGUCUUUGUUUUCAGAAAACUGAGACUUGCUGACUGGUAAGAAAAGCUUACAAACUUGCGAAUGGAAAUUGGGAAUUCUAAUUGGCAUUACUGAUUGACGAUAGUAGUAAUGACAGCAAUUGGUAUAAGAAUCAAAUCACAGAAUGAGGGGUAAAGAUAGUGAUCUGUAUUAAAAAAAUGCUGUAAACUACCCAAUUGCAUACUUACUACUUGAACCUGCGACCUUGGGAGGUUCAAACCUCUUGAAUGGCACGGUGACAGCUUGGGUGGUUGGUGCGACUGUUGUCGUUACUGGAAUACCCCAUUUUCAUGCAACAUCGAUGCAAACGUAAACAGUGAAUAUUUAUAAAUAUCAAAUUUUACGAAUUAAGAAUAAAUUCUUGCACCCCUUGAAUGAAAUCCAAUACAAAGAAAUAAUAAAACCAAUGGAUAGAUGAGACGUAAUGAUAAUCCGUGGCAUUCACACCAGCUCUCAUUAGUAAAGUUCUAAUUUUUGUCACGCAUGGGUGGUGAUGAAAAUGAUACGGAUUA